UACGUAGGGGGCAAGCGUUGUCCGGAUUCAUUGGGCGUAAAGAGCUCGUAGGCGGCUUGGCAAGUCGGGUGUGAAAACUCCAGGCUCAACCUGGAGACGCCACCCGAUACUGCCAUGGCUAGAGUCCGGUAGGGGACCACGGAAUUCCUGGUGUAGCGGUGAAAUGCGCAGAUAUCAGGAGGAACACCGGUGGCGGAAGGCGGCCGUCUGGGCCGACCCUGACGCUGAGGCGCGAAGGCGUGGGGAGCGAACGGG
rnacentral:rRNA from 1 species